rnacentral:rRNA from 1 species
GACGAACGCUGGCGGCGUGCUUAACACAUGCAAGUCGAACGCUGAAGCUCAGCUUUUGUUGGGUGGAUGAGUGGCGAACGGGUGAGUAACACGUGAGUAACCUGCCCCCUUCUUUGCGAUAACGCCCGGAAACGGGUGCUAAUACUGGAUAUUCACUGGUCUUCGCAUGGGGGUUGGUGGAAAGGGUUUUUCUGGUGGGGGAUGGGCUCGCGGCCUAUCAGCUUGUUGGUGGGGUGAUGGCCUACCAAGGCUUUGACGGGUAGCCGGCCUGAGAGGGUGACCGGUCACAUUGGGACUGAGAUACGGCCCAGACUCCUACGGGAGGCAGCAGUGGGGAAUAUUGCACAAUGGGCGCAAGCCUGAUGCAGCGACGCCGCGUGAGGGAUGGAGGCCUUCGGGUUGUGAACCUCUUUCGCUCAUGGUCAAGCCGCAACAAUGGUUGUGGUGAGGGUAGUGGGUAAAGAAGCGCCGGCUAACUACGUG